rnacentral:rRNA from 1 species
UACCGCGGUUAUACGAGAAGCCCAAGUUGACAAGCUCCGGCGUAAAGCGUGGUUAAGGAAUAAUAAACACUAAAGCCGAACGCUUACUAAGCUGUUAUACGCUUACGAAAGUAAGAAGUACAUCCACGAAGGUGGCUUUAUCUCACCUGAACCCACGAAAGCCAAGGCACAAACUGGGAUUAGAUACCCCACUAUGCUUUGCCCUAAACAUUGAUAGCCUUAUACAACCACUAUCCGCCCGGGAACUACGAGCAACAGCUUAAAACCCAAAGGACUUGGCGGUGCUUUAGACCCACCUAGAGGAGCCUGUUCUAAAACCGAUAACCCCCGUUCAACCUCACCUUUUCUUGUUCUCUCCGCCUAUAUACCGCCGUCGUCAGCUUACCCUAUGAAGGCCCCUUAGUAAGCACAAUUAGUACAACCCAAAACGUCAGGUCGAGGUGUAGCGUAUGGAAAGGGAAGAAAUGGGCUACAUUCCCUAUUACAGGUAAUUACGGAUAAUAUUACUGAAACGUGUAUCUAGAAGGAGGAUUUAGCAGUAAGCAGAAAAUAGAGUGUUCUGCUGAAACCGGCCCUGAAGCGCGCACACACCGCCCGUCACUCUCCCCGAACGUUUACCCACAACUUAACUUAAAACCCUACAUUAGUAAAGGGGAGGCAAGUCGUAA